rnacentral:rRNA from 1 species
CACGUAGGGGACGAGCGUUGUCCGGAUUCAUUGGGCGUAAAGAGCGUGUAGGCGGCUCGAUAAGUCCGCUGUGAAAGUCCAGGGCUCAACCCUGGAAGGCCGGUGGAAACUGUCGGGCUAGAGUCCGGAAGAGGCGAGUAGAAUUCCUGGUGUAGCGGUGGAAUGCGCAGAUAUCAGGAGGAACACCAAUGGCGAAAGCAGCUUUCUGGGACGGUACUGACGCUGAGACGCGAAAGCGUGGGGAGCGAACAGG